rnacentral:lncRNA from 1 species
CAUCUGUCACUUAGUGUGCAUGUGUGUAUGUGAGUGUGAGUUCAUGAGUGUCACAGAGAGCCUAUGCAGGUUAGAGGACAACCUCCGACAGCCAGUUCUUACUUUCCACUCAGUUGACAUUUGGUCUCUCUUGUUUUCUGGUGACUGUGCAUAACAGACUAGCUGGUCCAAAAUCUUCCUGCAUUUCCCCAUCUCUUUUCUCCUCCCACCUGACUCCACACUUGUCUGGAAAUGAGUCAGGAUGGAUGAAAUACAGACAGCUGUGAGCCGUUUGAAGUCGGGAAGAAGCACUGGAUGAGAAGAUUGGAUGGCACCUGAAAAUUCACGAGUUGUUCAGUUGGAGACCAAGAUCAAAGUGCUGGACAGAAUGUUCCACCUAGGAGAAGCAUCCCUCCUCCAUGGUACCCAGCUGGUGGCUCCUGAGAUGCAGUGGCAGCUUAGGGAGAUGGAAUACAUGGGUUCUGGAGUGGACCUUUAAGGCUGUGUUGGUGUCUUAGCUGAUCUCACUACCCUUCUCUGCUUCCUGGUUGCUGUGAGGUGGUUGGUGCUUAAGCUCUUGGACCAUAAGGAAAACAAGAGGUGCCUCUGUUUAAAAGCCUUGCAGAGAAAAAUGGAUCAAAGGUGUCAGCGAGAGUGAGGUGGGCCAGCUCAUCUAAAAAACAGCUCAAGUGCAUUUACUGGAAACUUGAUUUUAAAUACUUUGGGCUGGUCAGCUGGAGCUGAGACAUUAGCUGUGAUUAAGAAGAGACAAGCAUCAUGGAACUGAAAUCUUCUGGGAAGUAUUUCCUCGGAGUCAGCACACGGAAGCUGGGUUCCAGAUGUGGCCAAGGUUGUGCUUCGAACUGGUAGCCAAACUAAGUAAUGUGUAAGAGUCACCCAGGUGGUGCCAGUUUUGACAGUGUGAAGGGGUCAUGGGCAGCAGCCGAGUCUCGGUACUGUGUGGCAGGGUUGGAGUCCCUAAGAGAGCCCAGAAGAGGCUAUUGGUGAAAGCACAGCCCAGCUGCAGCAGAAGACGCUAGCAUUUGGGAGAUGGUAGUACCAUGUGAUGACCACCAAGAAGAGCAGCAAUGGAGCAGACUCAGCCAGAGCCUGGAAAACAAGCUGUGUGUCACAGAGGGCAGAGCUAGAAAAAUGACUCGGGCCCCUUGGAGGAGCCCAGAGGAUCAUGAGUGAAUCAUAGAUAACUGGGCAUUACGUUAUUUACACUGGAGUUUGGUUUUGCUUUGUUUAGAUGGUGACUAUACCCUGGUUCUUCCCUCUUGAAAUAAGAAUUUAAUUUAUUAUGGAUAUGAUAGGAGCCCACAACUGAGAGACUUUGGAUUUUUCAAAGAGACUUGAUUUCUAAGUGUUUGAACGUGUAAAGACUGCAGGACUUUUUAAGUCUAUGAACUGUUUCAUAUUGUGAUGCUGAUGUUAAUAUGUGAUCUCAGGAGUGGAUAGGAAGGGAAAGGUUGUAGCUUAACAGUUCUGUGUUUGUCAAGCUGACAAGGGGUUGAUUGUUCUGGUGAGUUUUGUGUCAAUCUGGCACAAGCUACAUUCAGCUGAGAGAAGAAACUUCAAUUUAAAAAUGCCUCCAGAGGGGCUGGAGAGAUGGCUCAGCGGUUAAGAGCACUGACUGCUCUUCCUAAAGGUCCUGAGUUCAAAUCCCAGCAACCAUAUGGUGGCUCACAACCAUCUGUAAUGUGAUCUGAUGCUCUCUUCUGAAGACAGCUACAGUGUACUUAGAUAUAAUAAUAAAUAAAUCUUUAAAAAAAAUUUAAAAAUGCCUCCAGAAUAUGGGGCUGUAGGCAAGCCUGCAGGGUAUUUUCUUAAUUAGUGAUUGAUGAGUUGGGGGGGGGGGCAAACCAUUGUAGGUGGGCCACAAUGUCCUGUGCUUUGUAAGAAAGCAGGUGGACUGAGCCAUGAAAACCAAGCCAGUGAGCAGUGUUUGUUUCUGCUUCCGUUCCUGCCUUGAGUUCCUGCCCUGACUUCCCCUGAUGAUAGACUAUCAACUGUAAGAUGAAAUAAACCAUUUAUUUCCUCAUCAAGAUGCUCUUGUCCUGGUGUUUUGUUCAAUUUUUUUUUUUUUUUUUUUUUUUUUUUUUUUUUUUUUUUUUUUAGCACAGCAAUAGAC